rnacentral:rRNA from 1 species
ACUCCUACGGGAGGCAGCAGUGGGGAAUCUUGGACAAUGGGGCGAACCUCGAUCCAGCCAUGCCGCGUGAGUGAUGAAGGCCUUAGGGUCGUAAAGCUCUUUCGCCUGUGAAGAUAAUGACGGUAGCAGGUAAAGAAACCCCGCGUACAUCCGUGCCAGCAGCCGCGGUAAUACGGAGGGGGUUAGCGUUGUUCGGAAUUACUGGGCGUAAAGCGCACGUAGGCGGAUCGGAAAGUUGGGGGUGAAAUCCC